GACGUAGGUGGCAAGCGUUAUCCGGAAUUAUUGGGCGUAAAGCGCGCGCAGGCGGUUCCUUAAGUCUGAUGUGAAAGCCCACGGCUCAACCGUGGAGGGUCAUUGGAAACUGGGGAACUUGAGUGCAGAAGAGAAGAGCGGAAUUCCACGUGUAGCGGUGAAAUGCGUAGAGAUGUGGAGGAACACCAGUGGCGAAGGCGGCUCUUUGGUCUGUAACUGACGAUGAGGCGCGAAAGAGUGGGGAGCAAACAGG
rnacentral:rRNA from 1 species